AUUGAACGCUGGCGGCAUGCCUUACACAUGCAAGUCGAACGGUAACAGGUCUUCGGAUGCUGACGAGUGGCGAACGGGUGAGUAAUACAUCGGAACGUGCCCGAUCGUGGGGGAUAACGAGGCGAAAGCUUUGCUAAUACCGCAUACGAUCUACGGAUGAAAGCGGGGGAUCUUCGGACCUCGCGCCGACGGAGCGGCCGAUGGCAGAUUAGGUAGUUGGUGGGAUAAAAGCUUACCAAGCCGACGAUCUGUAGCUGGUCUGAGAGGAUGAUCAGCCACACUGGGACUGAGACACGGCCCAGACUCCUACGGGAGGCAGCAGUGGGGAAUUUUGGACAAUGGGCGAAAGCCUGAUCCAGCCAUGCCGCGUGCAGGAUGAAGGCCUUCGGGUUGUAAACUGCUUUUGUACGGAACGAAAAGCCUCUUUCUAAUAAAGAGGGGUCAUGACGGUACCGUAAGAAUAAGCACCGGCUAACUACGUG
rnacentral:rRNA from 1 species